CCAGCAGCCGCGGUAAUUCCAGCUCCAAUAGCGUAUAUUAAAGUUGUUGCAGUUAAAAAGCUCGUAGUUGAAUUUCUGGAAAGUUCAUGCUGGCUGGUAUUGACCGGCCAUGUAUGUUCUUUCCAUUCUCGCGGGGAAGGCCUGGUUCUCGCAAGAGUCUAGUGUCCGGAACCGCGUCAUUUACUGUGAAAAAAUUAGAGUGUUUAAAGCAGGCGUUUUCGCUUGAAUACAUUAGCAUGGAAUAAUAAGAUAGGACUUCGGUCUAUUUUGUUGGUUGCGGCCCGAGGUAAUGAUUAAUAGGGAUAGUUGGGGGUAUUCAUAUUUAAUUGUCAGAGGUGAAAUUCUUGGAUUUAUUAAAGAUGAACGACUGCGAAAGCAUUUACCAAGG
rnacentral:rRNA from 1 species